rnacentral:rRNA from 1 species
GUGGAAGCUGUCCACCGUCGUGGGUGGUCAAACUGUGACCGUUGCCUUUUUUGCAACCAAGUGCAAGAGUCUGCGGCGCACCUCAUGUUCAAGUGCCGCUUCUCCAUUCGGGUUUGGAAGAAGGUUCUUGCUUGGCUGCACCUUGAUGUUGACACCGCUCCUUGGAUGAACUGCGCCAUGGUGCGGUCGUGGUGGGAGGGGGUCCUCGCCACGAACGCACAACCGCGGAAAGCCUUGGCCUCCCGUCUUCAUUUUGUUAGUUGGGAGAUUUGGAAGGAGCGAAAUGCACGAGUCUUCAGGACGAAGGCCGCACCGAUGGCGGUGAUCGUGCGAAUUAUCAAGGAGGAGGCGUCUAUCUGGGCUCUGGCGGGUGCUAGACAUUUGUGUAAUUUGAUGUCGCGAGAGUGGGCCUUACCCCUUUCCCGUUUCUGCGGGGCUGUUACGUACGAACACAAACUCUGUUGA